rnacentral:tRNA from 1 species
UCCCCUGUGGCUCAGUUGGUAGAGCAUGGUGUUUGCAAUGCCAGCAUGGUGUUUGCAACGCCAGGGUUGUGGGUUUGAUUCCCACGGGGGGCC